CCUACGGUGGGCAGCAGUGGGGAAUAUUGGACAAUGGGCGAAAGCCUGAUCCAGCCAUGCCGCGUGUGUGAAGAAGGCCUUCGGGUUGUAAAGCACUUUCAGUGGGGAAGAAAGCCUUGGGGCUAAUACCCUCGAGGAAGGACAUCACCCACAGAAGAAGCACCGGCUAACUCCGUGCCAGCAGCCGCGGUAAUACGGAGGGUGCGAGCGUUAAUCGGAAUUACUGGGCGUAAAGCGCGCGUAGGCGGUCUGAUAAGCCGGUUGUGAAAGCCCCGGGCUCAACCUGGGAACGGCAUCCGGAACUGUCAGGCUAGAGUGCAGGAGAGGAAGGUAGAAGUCCCGGUGUAGCGGUGAAAUGCGUAGAGAUCGGGAGAAAUACCAGUGGCGAAGGCGGCCUUCUGGACUGACACUGACGCUGAGGUGCGAAAGCGUGGGUAGCAAACAGGAGUAGAUACCCGAGUAGUC
rnacentral:rRNA from 1 species